ACACUCCCAUGCAGUAACAAUUUUUCACUCAAUUCCAAUUUAAAACCCAACCACAUCUCACACCACCCUCCAUUCCACUAAUGUAACCAUUUUAGUACUCUCAAACUCUUUCUUUCUCCAACAUACUCAACCACUCUCUUCUCAUUCUCACUCUCACUCAUUCUCUCUGCUCCAGCUAAAACCCCGAGACGACUUCAUUGCCACCAACCCUUUCUUUCACCUCACCGCUUGUUCGUCCCCAAGACGACUGGUCUUCUAUGGCCUCGGAUUGCUCGGCCAAUGACUAGUAGACCGUUUUGACUGUACGAUCGUUCACGUUCGAUGUUGGGAAGUAUUCUUCCGCGGUUCCCGACUGCUUACUGGCCGCCACCCUUUCAAAGAUGGUACCCCGUUCCAUUCUCCAAAUCGCACCACCACUGCCCCCCUCAGACUUUCCCAAGAACGAUUCUUGGCUUUCUCCUUCUAGGCUCUGAACUAGUAGCCAACACUCCCCUCCAUACUGAUGUCAGCUAGGCGCACUUUUUCCUCCUCUGCCACUCCUUGCAACUCAAAGAACUUCUCUGCCUUAGAGACCCACCCCAACGGAUCAAACCCUUCGAAAUUGGGUAGUUCUACCCUUUUUCCCCGGUUAGGUUGGACGUCUCUUCGGUCUUCAUCCAGUUCCUCCUCCGAGCAUUCCCUUCUCCUCUGAUUCUCGUUAACAGAAUGUUGAUCUUCAUCUACAGACCCUGGACUGCCUUCUAAUCCCUUUUCCUGGGUCCACACCCUUCCUCCAAGAACUCGCAAGAGUUCUCUAGUUUCCUGCCGCAUUUCUUGCAUAUUUUUUUUCCCAUUUUGCUAGCUCCCUUUUCUGUUCGCUGAUCCUCCUUUCCCAAGAAUUGUCUCUUCCUUCCAUCACGCUCCUUUCCCCAAGAAUCCGACACCCCUCUCCUAAUGGGAAUCCGGUAGUUUCUUGAUUACUUCUUGAUCCUUCACCCCCACUCCGAUCCGGCAGGUCGGACCACUUUGUUAGGGAUUCGGGAAGGAAUUCCUAACAAGCUCUCUCUCUAUCUCAAAUACAACAAUCAAGAACUUGUAAAGAAGGAAUAGUAUGAAUGGUAUUCACAACAAUGAAUCAAGAAUACACUGUAUCUUAGGAGCUUAACCUCCUCCACCUGGUGCUAAGACCGGUCAACACAUACAAACUACACAACUGGCUAACUGAAACAAUAAAGGGUCCUAAUAUAUAGGCCUUCUUCUGCCCCCUCACUUAACUGAUUAACAGUUAAUUGUUCUGUUUCCCUUUUCUCCUUUCCUAUACUCUCUAAGUCCUAACAGAAUCCUUAAUCCCAUGGGCUUUAAGAAUUGUCAUGAAAUCUUCACGAACCUGAUAAAGCCACCAAGAAGUGUUUGUAAAAGGUUAUUUGACCUAUGUCUAAACAGCUUUAUAGGUUUUAUGAGUGCGAGAUACAUAGCAAAGAGAUGGGUGAAUGGUGACUCAAUUGAUGCAACACAACUAAGUGUCAACUUUCUUCUACGGAGGAUGAGGUGAGAUGCGGCUCAUAGUACUGUCCAACAAGCCAAAGUUCAAUGUGAGAAGCCCAAGAGGUGUAGUUCUUUGAUCCAAUAACUGAGACAAGAGCGGGGCACUGAUGUGGCUGGUAAAAAUAGCAGCGUCAUACAUUGCAGUGCCAGAGGUACCAAAAACAAUACAAAAAAGUGGUGAAAAAUGAAAAGAGUUGUCCAGACACCAAACAAGAUCGAAUCCGGCUCAAGGAAGCUCUGUUGAUAGUGUCAAGAACAAAUGCCGGGAGCGCCACUAUGUGUGGCAGAUAUGGGCAGCACGUGGGAGAAGCAUGUAGAGAGAGAGGAGGUGCGUGCAACCUGCCAUAGCUAGGCCAUUCUUGAGGAGAUGGUGCCAAUAAUGGUCUUUGUAUCAUAAUAGUGGUGUUGGAAUAAUGUUUCAGGAAAAGUGAUGAGAAAAAAUUGAGUCUGAUGAAAAUUGGGUUCACCGGGAUAUUCCAAAAUUAGCCUCCUUUUAUAUAUAUCAUGUUGAAGCAGAGAGAAACAAGUAAACAUAGGAUGAAUUCCGCUCGCAGUGGAACUAUUAAAUUUAUAGGAGAGAAAGCAUAAUUACAAAAUAUUUAUUCCAGAAUAUCGAUUUACCCAGUUUUAGGUUAAUAACAUAAAUAUAGAAUUAAUUUAGUUAAUCCUAGUAUUCAACGUUACUAUAUUUCAAAGAUUCUUACAAAAAUAAUCUCAUUAUAUAUUGGGCAUCCUCCGAUGAACUGUUAUUUUCUGAGGAACUACUAUUUUCACUGUUUUGUUUUGUUUGAUACAUUUAACCGCUGAUUAUAUCCUCUUUUUCUCCAUCGCAGAAAGAUAAUGAAGAUGAAGAGCUUUGUAGCGUUUUUGUCCCUACGAACCAUCUGUAUAUUGGCGAUAUAUUUCUGGUUAACUCCAAAGAUAUUAUAAGACCAAAUCUUUCUAUUCGAGAAGGCAUAGAAAUCAUUGUUUCCGGGGGAAUGACUAUGCCGCAGUUGAUAACUCCGGUUGAAAGGGCUACUCGACCGAAUGAAAGAAUAUCUUUAAAUAGAAUUGGAUAAAGGAUUAAAUCCGUGGUUGGAACCAUGUGGGUGAUGGAAAUUAUCAGUCUGAACCUCCAUUUAUUUUAAUAUACGAAAUUUGUUGUUUAAUAUUUUGUUAACUAUUGUCUGUUCCAAGCUGCAAGAUAACUUGUAGAACUGUAGUUGUAAGCUUGUAAUCUCAUCCCUGUUUUUGCUCUACCAGUUACCCCCCAACUUCAGGCUGACACAUAUUAACUCCAAAGUAUUAAUAUAUGUUCGAAAGUCUGCGUGUUCUUAACAUUAGAUAGGAUCAGUGUCUAUGGAAAUUUUAUA